GGCAGAGGAACCACGACGGCCAUGCGGAAGCCACACAAGAGCGAUCCAAUGUCUCAUCUCCGCCCUCAAUCAUGGCCUCCGCUGAUGCCAAAGUAAACCCAUUCAGCUUCAGGAGGCUUUUCAGCAAACAAAGCAUAAUUUGUACGACGGAUCUGUGUGUUACAGAGGAUCACGGGCAUUUGAAAUGACACAACUGGAAGCUAAAUCCAACAGCAGGGGAGACCCUUACCAAGGCGAGGUAUGAUGCUCCACUUGGUCUCACUGCCUCCCGUCUCUGCUCCAUCCAAUCUAUCUUCCAGUCCAGAAGUGAAGGUUUUGUGCCAAAAUGCAUUCACCCAUCCAAACAUUCAAUAAAUAUCUACUAAGUACCCACUAAA
ensembl:lncRNA FARS2-AS1 FARS2 antisense RNA 1